AUGCAGUGUGCAUGUGUGGGUGCCGAUGCCGAUAGGGACUCAUAUCGUGCGCGAACGCAACGUAGCGGUUUGCGAGAAUUCCAUCAACGUGAACGCGCCUCACUUGUUUCAAUUCGAUGCCGUCAGCUUGUUAGAACAUUGUGUGUUAUUAUGAAUUGUUCUAAUUAGGUAUGGCGGUCCAUACUGAUAAAACAGUAGCUUCAUCAAUUCCCGUUCUAGUGAGCAUUUUGUCUGUUCGCGCGUUCUCCCAGUGAAGCAGGUGUUCUCUGAUUGGGCUCAACGCUCAACUAUCAUUUAGUACUGGUAGAUUAUGCACAUUGCAAAUGUGUGUGUAAAGUGUCCACAAAUAGUGCAGGAGGAGUUCAAUGCAGUGAUCUUUGUUGUAGAAACAUCAACUCCAAAUGGGCAGUAAUAGCGGCAUAAAUGAAAUAGGCAUGCAGGCGAAGCCGGGGCGGAAGCUAGUUGUCGAUAUUUUAAGUGCAAACCAACUGAAAAUGUGGCAAGCGCAUUCGGGUGCAGUGCAGAGACGCGGCGACCGGUCGCGCGCAGUGGAGGAACCCGGAACAGACCGCCUUGCCUCAAGGCCGCACGGUAUCUCUUACUUUUGGCCAUGAAUAAAUUUAUGAUAUCAAGUCUCGUCUCCAAUAGAUAUAUUUUUGGAUGGAUUUGGUUAAUUAAAUAUUAUUUGAUUUUUCAGAAUAAAUAUUUUUAAGAUAACUCGUUCGUGUACUAGGUACAUACUAGUUGUUCGCCGCGAAAUUAGAAUUCGUGAACACUUUUAAUUUUUAUAAAAAUCUCAACAACUACUUAACCGAUUUUGAUGAUCUACGAAGUAAAAUAUUCUAUUGACAGUACCUACCUACAUAAUUAAAUUUCAUCAAAAUCAGACCAGAGCGGUUCGAGUGCUAUCGCAUUACAAACAUGCAAACAUACAAAUUACAUUUUGGCCCCAUGUUGAUCCGUAGUCUGUUUGUUAAGAUUAGGUAUUUAUGUGAGUUAAGUGCACGUCCAUCUUACAAUUAUUUCAUUCUAUUACAAAGUUGUCUCUAUAUAGUAAGCUCUUACUUUGAGUUAUUUCCCAGUAAGCUGAAGUAUCUACCUAGGCUUUAAGAUGAAAUUAAGCAAGACCAUUGCAUGAGCACUAAUGAUACCUAGGAAACUCCUCAUUUAAUAAUCUAAUCCUGUUAAUAUUCGUAUUUCGUCAGUGUACGUGCAAGCUGUGAAUUAGAAGACAAAAAAUGAGGAUAACUUGUUGAAUUAACAUACGAAACCAAACCAGCGGCGGCCCACUCGUAAGAAACCGGUAAUUCACUUGACAUCGGUAAGUAAAUAUGGAAGCUUGUCGCGAUUGUGAGAUGAAUCUGCCUACACACAUACGACUGGCUAGCGGGGUCUGCAGCAGUGCGUCACUUAGCCUUAGGACCAUUUGUGCAGUGUCGGAUUUAUUUUGUCACUUUUAUAUUUUUGUAUCACGUUAUUAAAAUUCUAAGAAAAAACAUAACACGAUUACAAAUUUCACUUUAUAUUGUUUAGGUCAAUAGGUAAGGUCCUUACCCUAAAUCCUCUUCAGAAGUAAGUUUCGGCAAAACUUAAGAAUUAAAUAUAAAUCAGAAAUUUAAAAAUAUACCUUUCUGGCCAUACCAAUGCUUCUAAAGAUUUCCUCUUUCACCUUGCUUGCAAUAAUUACUGAGUUGCUAUGAUAAGAACAAAAAUUGUAUAUAGCUCCUUUUUGACUGAUAUUUGGCAAAUUAAUUUUUAAAUCUUUAACUUAGGCUCUCACAAUAUCAGACUGAAGCAAAGUAGUCAUGUAAAUAUGAGCACAUCUAGUAUCACUACAUAGUAAUCACCACAAAGUCGCUUGCCGCGUCUGUCCCUCUGUAUGUAUGUAUGCUUAAAUCUUUAAAAUUAAAAGAUUUUGAUUAAGUUUUUUAAUAGAUAUGUAGUCAUUCAAGAGAAAGGUUUUUCGCAGUCGCAGGUUGCUUAUAAGGGGUACUUUUCAUAUUGUGUACUUCGCAAACUGGGCUGAAUUCUAGAAUAUUUCGCGAACUAGGCCAUUACAAGGUGGUGGUGCAAGUAAAAGAAUCAAAAGACACGAAUCAUAAUGUUACACGAUUUUGUACAGUUCAGUUUACACGAUUUUGUAACUAAAAUUGCAAUGAAAAGCGUUGAACUACUCGUUCAGCACGUAUCACAAUUACGUGCUACUAAACGAGCAAAAAAUAGUUGCAUACAUAUUUUAAAGAUUUUGCAUGUACGUGUCCGUAGGUCUCUCCUGUAGAAAUCAUGCUUCUAAUAUGCAAGUUUGUUUCCUACAGGUUUCCAAAAUACCAAAUCCACAAACUACUAUUAAUAGGUACACACUUAAUAACAUAAUGCAGAUUAAGUAUAAUAUAAUGAUACUAGGUAUAAUGAUAUAAUGUUCAAAUUUAGUAUGCAGAUUUUUAUAUUUACGACCACAAAUUAGACGUCUAGCGGAAUGUACAAAUAUUGCAUUGCCUAAACGUUGUAUUAUUAAUUUUCAUAUCUGCAUAAUUAUAAGCUGGCUAUCAAGCGGGGUUAUCACGUUCAUUACAGGAUUCCUGAUACACAUCGGUCAAAUGGCAACUCCUUGCAAUGCAACCUGCAACUCUUGCACUCGACUUGCUGGACUGGCUUCAUACUAAACUCAUGUGUAGUAAGUAGGUACUUUAUGUAAUUAAUAUCUUGUCUACAUGUAGUUACUCGUAAGUUUUAAUAACAAAACCACUUUUAUUUCUGUCAUUAUUUUCCAUUUUAAUUUAUUUAUAUACUUAGAACAAACUUAUAUUGAUUGUCUGGUGCGAAUUAAAAACAUGGAUUGUGCCAGCUGCUUUUAUUUCCACGCAGAUUGGCAAAGUACAGGAAGUUAAAGACUUAUAAACUUGAAAAAUGUAGGUAUGGGCUAGCAAAUCUUAUUUCAUUAUCAAGCUAUCCAACCGAACUUGGAAUUUGAGUCUUUAGACACUAUUAAAUCUGUUUACCCUGCAUAUUUUUUGUAUGUAAACUAAAUAUAAUAUCUGCAAUGUAUUUGUAUAAAUAUA